CGAAAGCCUGACGGAGCAAUACCGCGUGUGGGAGGAAGGCCCUUGGGUCGUAAACCACUUUUCUUAGGGAAGAAGCUCUGACGGUACCUAAGGAAUAAGCCUCGGCUAACUCCGUGCCAGCAGCCGCGGUAAUACGGAGGAGGCAAGCGUUAUCCGGAAUUAUUGGGCGUAAAGAGUCCGUAGGUGGUCUUUCAAGUCUGCUGUUAAAGGCAGAAGCUUAACUUCUGAUAGGCAGUGGAAACUGAAAGACUAGAGUAUGGUAGGGGUAGAGGGAAUUCCCAGUGUAGCGGUGAAAUGCGUAGAGAUUGGGAAGAACACCGGUGGCGAAAGCGCUCUACUGGGCCAAAACUGACACUGAGGGACGAAAGCUAGGGUAGCG
rnacentral:rRNA from 1 species